UGGGGAAUAUUGGACAAUGGGCGAAAGCCUGAUCCAGCCAUGCCGCGUGUGUGAAGAAGGUCUUCGGAUUGUAAAGCACUUUAAGUUGGGAGGAAGGGCAUUAACCUAAUACGUUAGUGUUUUGACGUUACCGACAGAAUAAGCACCGGCUAACUCUGUGCCAGCAGCCGCGGUAAUACAGAGGGUGCAAGCGUUAAUCGGAAUUACUGGGCGUAAAGCGCGCGUAGGUGGUUUGUUAAUUUGGAUGUGAAAUCCCCGGGCUCAACCUGGGAACUGCAUUCAAAACUGACUGACUAGAGUAUGGUAGAGGGUGGUGGAAUUUCCUGUGUAGCGGUGAAAUGCGUAGAUAUAGGAAGGAACACCAGUGG
rnacentral:rRNA from 1 species